rnacentral:rRNA from 1 species
UGGGGAAUAUUGGACAAUGGGCGCAAGCCUGAUCCAGCAAUGCCGCGUGUGUGAAGAAGGCCUUCGGGUUGUAAAGCACUUUUAUCAGGAGCGAAACGCUGUCGGCUAAUACCCGGCGGAACUGACGGUACCUGAGGAAUAAGCACCGGCUAACUUCGUGCCUGCAGCCGCGGUAAUACGAAGGGUGCAAGCGUUAAUCGGAAUUACUGGGCGUAAAGCGUGCGUAGGCGGUUUCUUAAGUCUGCUGUGAAAUCCCCGGGCUCAACCUGGGAAUGGCAGUGGAUACUGGGAGGCUAGAGUGUGUCAGAGGGUGGUGGAAUUCCCGGUGUAGCGGUGAAAUGCGUAGAGAUCGGGAGGAACAUCAGUGGCGAAGGCGGCCACCUGGGACAACACUGACGCUGAGGCACGAAAGCGUGGGGAGCAAACAGGAUUAGAUACCCUGGUAGUCCACGCCCUAAAGCGAUGCGAACUGGAUGUUGGUCUCAACUCGGAGAUCAGUGUCGAAGCUAACGCGUUAAGUUCGCCGCCUGGGGAGUACGGUCGCAAGACU